rnacentral:rRNA from 1 species
GACAGAGGGGGCAAGCGUUGUUCGGAAUUACUGGGCGUAAAGGGCGCGUAGGCGGGAUGGCAAGUCGGUCGUGAAAUCCCUCGGCUCAACUGAGGAGCGUCGAUCGAAACUGCCGUUCUUGAGGGUUGCAGAGGAGACUGGAAUUCCCGGUGUAGCGGUGAAAUGUGUAGAGAUCGGGAGGAACACCGGUGGCGAAGGCGGGUCUCUGGGCAACUCCUGACGCUGAGGCGCGAAAGCGUGGGGAGCAAACGGG